rnacentral:lncRNA from 1 species
UGAUGGUAUUUAUUACAUGCUACUGAGCAAACAAAACUGAAAUCUAUUCUAAAAGGACAAAGUACACACUUCAGUAUGCAUCAAAUGCACCAGCCUACUUUCUGGUCUCCAGGUAAUGUAACCUAUAUAUUGCUGUGUGAUCCUGGCUGUAAAUAGACUCUGAGAGUUGUGAAACCACUGCCAUUUGCAUAACAGGCCAUUACUUAUCAUGGAGCUUUAGGGCAUGCAAAGCACUCUGAGUAUAGGAUGAACAUUUAUGAUGAAAUUCAAGAUACAGAUUGUAUUCAACUGUGAAUUAUCUCCUAUCAAAAAGCUGUAGAUCAUAUGACUUAAAUUUAUCUUAUAUGAAAGAAACACAGGUUCAGAAAAGAAGCUAUAAUAUAUAAAGCAUCUGUAAGCAAAGCCUGUAGAGCUUUAUCAGCGUAUUUUAGACUAAAGAUUCAUUUCUGUUACCUGAAAACUUUCUUGCAUUUUAUACAACUUUAGACAAGUUAGAUUUAAAUGUUUUAUUGUCUGGAAGAAUCUUUUUUCCUCUCUGAUAUUGAAAGAUCUUUUGCACAGAUUUACCUAUGCUGGAUUUUUUGGUGACAUAUUGGAUACCAGAUAUCCAAAUUCUUUCAUUCUUACAGACAUUAAGUAUGCACUGACUGUCUUUGUUCAAGUUAAAAAAUUAUUAAGAAGGUUAUAGAGGAAAAUACCAUUUAAAAAUACUUUGAUUCACUAUUAGUAAAGGUACUUUUGAUGAACUGCUCCACUGGACUUUGAAAAGUCCAGUUGUUAAGCAAACUCCAGCUGAACUCAUUUCACCUCAGCUAAGUACAAGUCUUCAGAAGUGUAAUAAAAAAGUGAAUUGCUGUUAUCUUGAAGGCAACAAUUCAGAAGUCAGAAGAUUAUACAUUUGAAAGAAAAUAUCUCACAUCUGACAGAAAGAUAUUUCCAUGUUGUAUGUUUGAGGGAAUAUGAGUGACUUAUUCUUACUUUCUCAACUUCACACAGGUGAAGAUCACCUCAGUGCUGAAGAAGACGAGGAAGUUUUGACUCUUUUGUAUGAUCCCUGUCUGAGCUGUUACUUUGACCUGAAUUCCAGGAAUUACUAUGAAUUGUUGGUGUGAGAUGCUGAGGCUAUCAGCUACGAUCAGCUUUACCACUGUAACACAGGGCUGGAGAGUGGUGAGGGAUUAGUCCAACACUCCAAAACUGGAGUCUUGUUUCAGGUAAGGCAAGGAGGUGUUUAUGUGAUUCAUGUGGCAAGCUGUGCUCAGAGGGCAGGUCCAACAUGUUUGUAUGAGUUUCUCCAUUACACUUUGAAAUAAAAUAAUGCAAUUCAUUUAACA